rnacentral:rRNA from 1 species
AUUGAACGCUGGCGGCAGGCUUAACACAUGCAAGUCGAGCGGAGAGAGGUAGCUUGCUACUGAUCUUAGCGGCGGACGGGUGAGUAAUGCUUAGGAAUCUGCCUAUUAGUGGGGGACAACAUUUCGAAAGGAAUGCUAAUACCGCAUACGUCCUACGGGAGAAAGCAGGGGAUCUUCGGACCUUGCGCUAAUAGAUGAGCCUAAGUCGGAUUAGCUAGUUGGUGGGGUAAAGGCCUACCAAGGCGACGAUCUGUAGCGGGUCUGAGGGGAUGAUCCGCCACACUGGGACUGAGACACGGCCCAGACUCCUACGGGAGGCAGCAGUGGGGAAUAUUGGACAAUGGGCGCAAGCCUGAUCCAGCCAUGCCGCGUGUGUGAAGAAGGCCUUAUGGUUGUAAAGCACUCUAAGCGAGGAGGAGGCUACUUUAGAUAAUACCUAGAGAUAGUGGACGUUACUCGCAGAAUAAGCACCGGCUAACUCUGUGCCAGCCGCCGCCGUAAAAC